UGCAGUCGACGAUGAUGCUUCUAGCUUGCUAGAAGUGGAUUAGUGGCGCACGGGUGAGUAAGGUAUAGUUAAUCUGCCCUACACUAGGGAAUAACACUUAGAAAUGAGUGCUAAUACCCUAUACUCCUAUUGAACCUAAGUUUAAUAGGGAAAGUUUUUCGGUGUAGGAUGAGGCUAUAUAGUAUCAGCUAGUUGGUGGGGUAAAGGCUUACCAAGGCUAUGACGCUUAACUGGUCUGAGAGGAUGAUCAGUCACACUGGAACUGAGACACGGUCCAGACUCCUACGGGAGGCAGCAGUAGGGAAUAUUGCGCAAUGGGCGAAAGCCUGACGCAGCAACGCCGCGUGGAGGAUGACACUUUUCGGAGCGUAAACUCCUUUUCUUAGGGAAGAACUUUGACGGUACCUAAGGAAUAAGCACCGGCUAACUCCGUGCCAGCAGCCGCGGUAAUACGGAGGGUGCAAGCGUUACUCGGAAUCACUGGGCGUAAAGGGCGCGUAGGCGGAUUAUCAAGUCUUUUGUGAAAUCUAAUGGCUUAACCAUUAAACUGCUUGAGAAACUGAUAGUCUAGAGUGGGGGAGAGGCAGAUGAAUUGGUGGGGUGUAGGGGGUUAAAUCCCGUAGAAUAUCACCCAAGAAUACCCAUUGGGCGCGAAAGCGUGGGGAGCAAACAGGAUUAGAUACCCUGGUAGUCCACGCCCUAAACGAUGUAUGCUAGUUGUUGGAGUGCUAGUCAUUUCAGUAAUGCAGCUAACGCAUUAAGCAUACCGCCUGGGGAGUACGGUCGCAAGAUUAAAACUCAAAGGAAUAGACGGGGACCCGCACAAGCGGUGGAGCAUGUGGUUUAAUUCGAGGCUACGCGAAGAACCUUACCUGGGCUUGAUAUCCUAAGAACCCUAUAGAGAUAUGGGGGUGCUAGCUUGCUAGAACUUAGAGACAGGUGCUGCACGGCUGUCGUCAGCUCGUGUCGUGAGAUGUUGGGUUAAGUCCCGCAACGAGCGCAACCCACGUAUUUAGUUGCUAACAGCUCGGCUGAGCACUCUAAAUAGACUGCCUUCGUAAGGAGGAGGAAGGUGUGGACGACGUCAAGUCAUCAUGGCCCUUAUGCCCAGGGCGACACACGUGCUACAAUGGCAUAUACAAUGAGACGCAAUACCGUGAGGUGGAGCAAAUCUAUAAAAUAUGUCCCAGUUCGGAUUGUUCUCUGCAACUCGAGAGCAUAAAGCCGGAAUCGCUAGUAAUCGCAAAUCAGCCAUGUUGCGGUGAAUACGUUCCCGGGUCUUGUACUCACCGCCCGUCACACCAUGGGAGUUGAUUUCACUCGAAGAGGGGAUGCUAAAUCGGCUACUCUCCACA
rnacentral:rRNA from 1 species